rnacentral:rRNA from 1 species
CACGUAGUUAGCCGUGGCUUUCUGAUUAGGUACCGUCAAGACGUACAUAGUUACUUACACAUUUGUUCUUCCCUAAUAACAGAGUUUUACGAUCCGAAGACCUUCAUCACUCACGCGGCGUUGCUCCGUCAGGCUUUCGCCCAUUGCGGAAGAUUCCCUACUGCUGCCUCCCGUAGGAGUCUGGACCGUGUCUCAGUUCCAGUGUGGCCGAUCACCCUCUCAGGUCGGCUACGCAUCGUCGCCUUGGUAAGCCGUUACCUUACCAACUAGCUAAUGCGGCGCGGAUCCAUCUAUAAGUGACAGCAAAACCGUCUUUCACUAUUGAACCAUGCGGUUCAAUAUAUUAUCCGGUAUUAGCUCCGGUUUCCCGAAGUUAUCCCAGUCUUAUAGGUAGGUUAUCCACGUGUUACUCACCCGUCCGCCGCUAACGUCAGAGGAGCAAGCUCCUCGUCUGUUCGCUCGACUUGCAUGUAUUAGGCACGCCGCCAGCGUUCAUCCUGAGCCAGGA